CUUGUUUCUCUCCCAAAAAAAAAACAAACAAUCUUGGAAAAACAAACCAACAGCACCUCCUUUUUCUCUUGUCGCUCCUCAAACGUGAGCCUGAUGUGGACUCGACUUCAUUCCCGUGAAGCUUUGUGGCGAGAGUACCUUUCACGCAGCCAGCUGGGCUGCAAGAUGCCAGCGGGUUCCCCAGCUUUUUCCACAUCCACAAUAAAUCGUCGUGGACCUCCGACGCCAUUGGUUCUUUACUUUGGACUCAAGUCUUUGGGAGAAGGAAGUGAAGUCCAAAAAGGAUGCAGCGUUCCCUGGCUUCGCUCCAGCGGGACCAAAUUGGGUGACAAAGUCAUUCCGCCACGGCGUUGCUGAGGUUAAGAAGCCUUCAGUGCGCUUGGGAGACAACAUUGAAGAUGAAGAGCAGGCCAACGAUGGGAGGAGGACAAUGAGGAGGAGGAAGAGUGAGCAGCAGGCCGCCUCUCAAGAGCCGCGGGUGCCUUUAUUUUUAAACCCACCACUCGAUUGUUUGCUAACGCCGAGAUGGAGAUAGAGAUGGAACGUCUCGUGGGACAUUUACACGCAAUUCAUGAGAAAGUGAGAUACCUGCCUGACUUUCAGCCACUCUCAUUUAUUGAUUGUACACGUAAUGAGGAGCGUGGCCUAUUCAUGAAUCUAAUUGUUUUCAUUAAUAGACCGAACGCCUCAUCAGUUUACACAUGCAACAGAGUUGCCCUCACGACUCAGUUCAUUCAAAAUGCUUUCAUUAAUAUGCCACACUCCCAGUUAAUUUUUGUUUUCAUUAUUAUGCCACCCUGUAAUUAAUUUGUUUUCAUUCAUAGGGCACACGUCUCAGCAGAUUGGACACCUGAUGAGGAGCGUGGCCGAUCACUUAAUUCGAAUGCUUUCAUCGAAAUGCCACGCUUCAAUGAAAUUACGUUUUCCUGAAUAUGCCAAGCCCUUCAUCCGAUAGGAAGGGUGACCGACUGUAGUUUGAUGACUGAACUUGACCUGGAAAAAGUAACUUAUUCAAUUUAUAAUGAGAGAAUGUGCACAAUUUGGAGCAACCUGUUAGUAAUGCAUUGCUAACAUCACUGGCAAGAAUGAGGUUGUCGUCAUUUAGAUUCGCAGCCGGACGACCUUAGCCCACGUCUCCUUUGAAAGGGAUUUUAAAGGGGAAGUCAACCCCCCAAAUUUCUUUACCGUUAUAUGUGCCUCGACUAGUCUAAACACG